rnacentral:lncRNA from 1 species
GGUAGUUUAUUUGUUUUUAGUUUUGUUUACUAUUUUCCUCUUAUAAUCUCGUUGAUCCCAUAGUGAGUUCCUGUCUAUUUCUUCUCCCGGCCAGCGGUCCUUUCUCUGGGCGGCUUCCCUUCCCACCAGUGAUAUCUCUAUGGAAGCUUUCUUGCGCAGUAGCAUUCACAACGUUCCAGUUGCCCUAGUGCCAACCAAUGGGGGAUUCAUUCGCGUGAAGAAUCCAAAGACAAUUCAGGAAAAGCUGAGGAAAGCAACCCGCACUUCCGGAGCGUAGCCAAUGUCUGACAAUUUGGCAGAGGGGGCAUUCUGUUUUGUUCGGCUGACCAGACCUGUCUCCGACCUUCUAAAUUGUGGAAUGUUCGCGAGUCACCCGCAGCGGUAUAUAUCGGAAGUUUGCAGAACCCUCAGGACCGGUACCAUAAGGGAUGCCGCUGCCUGUGUACCUGCCGACUUGUUUAAGCCUGUGUGACCUGGCGCCCAUACCAAACGGACAAGACGUUCAAUGGCAACGAGGCGGCCUGUUGAAGUCCCCGGGAUGCCGCAGCGCUGACGAUGUCAGAGUCCAGCACGGCCUCUGGUGCGUGGGUGACGUCAUCGAAGAGGUCCUCCGCCGUCAGCAGAGCAUCAUUGGCCGGAAGCUUCUCGUCCUCAUCCACCUGUCUGUCAAUGACAGUGCGGUACGCGUGGCGCAG